rnacentral:ncRNA from 1 species
CAGUCACCGCCGCCGGGCGGGACUGGGCGUUUGCCGUGCAUCAUUAGGCCAUAGAAGAUGCACAGCAGGCGCGAUUUUUUUA